CGGCGGACGGGUGAGUAACGCGUAGGAAUCUACCUGGUAGUGGGGGACAACUUGGGGAAACUCAAGCUAAUACCGCAUACGCCCCAUGGGGGAAAGCGGGGGAUCUUCGGACCUCGCGCUAUCGGAUGAGCCUGCGUAGGAUUAGCUAGUUGGUGAGGUAAAGGCUCACCAAGGCGACGAUCCUUAGCUGGUCUGAGAGGAUGAUCAGCCACACUGGGACUGAGACACGGCCCAG
rnacentral:rRNA from 1 species